CUGUCGGGUAAGGAGUAGCCGACCGCCCGUACCGAGUCCUUGGGGUCGAACUGGUAACAUAAGCUCUAAGCGUAGGACAGGGAGCAACAGAGCCGUAACGCAAGUGAAGUGAUUGAGCCGGGAAAUAAUUGAAAGUGGGAAUAGGUCGAUGUCUUCUUUACGACAGCAGACAACAUCUGACUAACCGAAAAAGGCGAGGUUAGUUGGGCAGCCCCCGGUCUGAGAGC
rnacentral:ncRNA from 1 species